UUACAUUCCUAAUUCUUACAAAGAAUUCGAUUUAGAUGGCGCGGAAUUUUAGAUACAACGCAAAGUGGAAUUUUGAAGGAAAAAUAGGAAUAAAAUAAAAUAUUUGAUUCAUUUCAAAUCCUACAUUGCUCACAAAAUGAUAGAGAAGAAAUGGACGCUGGACGUCGAGUCAAAUCGAUACGACCUCAUUCCGGGCAAAUUUUAUUUAAUAGGAUAUGUAAAAGAUGGCGAAAAUGGUGGGAACCAUGUCGAUAUAAGGCUUAAAACCCAAAGUGUUGACGCGAAGCACUGUGUUUUGGAUGUAUCUGGGGACGCUUUGUAUAUAUAUGAUUUACACAGU